GAUGAAGAACGCAGCGAAAUGCGAUAAGUAGUGUGAAUUGCAGAAUUCAGUGAAUCAUCGAAUCUUUGAACGCACAUUGCGCCCCUCGGUAUUCCGUGGGGCACGCCUGUUCGAGCGUCAUUUACACCCUCAAGCGCAGCUUGGUGUUGGGCGUCUGUCCCGCUCUCCGUAGCGCGGACUCGCCUCAAAGUCAUUGGCGGCGGUCGUGCCGGCUCCUCGCGCAGCACAUUUGCGCUUCUCGGAGGCCCGGCGGAUCGGCAUCCAGCAAGCUACUUUUUAUGACUUGACCUCGGAUCAGGUUAGGAUACCCGCUGAACUUAAGCAUAUCAAUAAGCGGAGGA
rnacentral:misc_RNA from 1 species